CGCGACGGUCCGGGUGGUCCCGGGGCCCGGCUCAUACCCGGUGUCGCAGCGGGUUCGACUCCCGCCGUCGCGU
rnacentral:tRNA from 1 species